CCACCAAAAAAUAUUUUUGUGUCACAUAUUAAAAAUAUUAAUUCAAAAGUCAAAUAUUAUUGUACACAUUUUAUUAAUCAGUACCCUGUCAGGGCUAUGGUCUCAGAUAUUUCAGAAAGAAAACUGCACAAAAGAGAAUUCAUGAAGGGAUCUUAGCAAGAACAUAAACUAACCCAUUACUUACCAUUACUAAAACAGUGUUAUUACUGUACAUAGAACAUUUUAUACAGUAUUGUUAUGGUUUGGACUGCCAAAAGAUCAGAAACACUGUCUCUAUUCUAGAGCAAUACCCUUCGAGCCCUCUGAGAGUGCCACCUUUCAACUAUCUUUUUGCCGUCAAAACUGUCCAACUCAGGGCCUUCAAUGCUAAUAAAUAAAAGUUUGUGGAGUGAGUCCACUGAAAGGCUGCUUCUCCAGUCAUUUUUAAUUCGUUUCAUUGAACUGAAGCCUCUUUCACAAGCAGCUGUAGACAGAGGAAGUACAAGUAACAGCUCGGCAAUCAGCAAAAGAUUUUUGUACUCAUUUUGACGAUGAUCAUCCAGGAAGAAAUCUCUCCAGGCAUCUUUCUGCAGGCCUGGAAGUAAAGAUUUGAUGAGCACCUUAGCACUUGGCCAUUCCUUGUGUCGAGCAGCAUCACAGUCACAGCCCAUACGAUCCAGAACUUGAGCAAAGUGGUUUGUUAGCAACAAGAGCUCUUCAUUUCCAUAGCUUGCUAAUUCUCCUGUAUCCUUUGGCCACUCUCUUGGAUCCAGGAUGCAGCUUGCUGCCUGGAGAACCUUCUCCGACUCAACACAUUUAAACCUCCGCUGCAGGCUGGACACAACGGCAUUCAGGAGCUCAGCUUUCAUUCUAUGACAUAAAAACAUUUUCAAUAAAUUUUUUAAACUAAAUCACAUAAAGUAUCCUCACCUCCCCUUAUUUUUUUUAAACUAAUCUACCUAUUGAAUCUCCCUUUGCCAUCUUCAGUGAAAUUGGAAAGCUGGACUGUCUGGAACUUGCCCUCAUCUUUUGUAUGGUCAAGGAAUACCUCAAGCUUCUCCCCUGGUGUUAUCUGCAUGCUGACAAGUCUAAGCACUGCUACUUCAAAAGCUUGUGUGGCAGAAUGGGUUUGUGCCCCUCCUAUUUUUGUAAUGUGAGGGUUUAGCCAAUGGGUAGUGAUUUUGAAGGUAUAAAAGCGCAACGCAUCAGUCGUAGGUGUGCGUCAUUGAGGGGGGCCGUAACGUCAUCAGCGCGCCGCCGCUUGUUUGCUCGAGUGGAUUGUUUACAUCCGUGUUGGUAGAGACUGCCGAAGCUGCUAACCACUGUACAAAAGUCUAUUUUGCUGCGUGAGGAACCAAGUGUGGACAAUUGAGACGGAUCUGGGCGCUGGAUGCAGACGAGUGGCUCUAUUGUGGUGGUGGUGUGUCCUUCACCGUGUGUUGUGCUUCUCACUGACACCAGUCUGUGUGUGUGUGCUAUGUUCACCUGAUUGUAGUGAUUAAUUUGGCAUAUGAGACUGCCCCAGUUGAACAGCAGCGUGGUGCUGAUUGGUGACGAUUUCUCCGUGGUGGAUCUGGGCGCUGGGUGCAGACGAGUGGCUCUAUUGUGGUGGUGGUGUGUCCUUCACCGUGUGUUGUGCUUCUCACUGACACCAGUCUGUGUGUGUGUGCUAUGUUCACCUGAUUGUAGUGAUUAAUUUGGCAUAUGAGACUGCCCCAGUUGGUAAGCCCCAGCUCCUUGCCCACAGCAGAAGUGUUUUAUGAUGAGUGGCCAUAUUUUUAAUAUUUGUACAACUCAAUAAAAAUAUUUUUGUACCAUUUACUUCUGUCUCUGACU